UACCUGCAGCUCAAGUGGUGAUCGUUAUUAUUGGGCCUAAAACGUCCGUAGCCGGUCUUAUAAAUGCCUGGGUAAAUCGGACCGCUCAACGGUUCGAAUUCCGGGUAGACUGUAAGACUUGGGACCGGGAGAAGCUAGAGGUACUCCUGGGGUAGAGGUGAAAUUCUGUAAUCCUAGGGGGACCACCAGUGGCGAAGGCGUCUAGCUAGAACGGGUCUGACGGUGAGGGACGAAGCCCUGGGGCGCAAACCGGAUUAGAUACCCGGGUAGUCCAGGGUGUAAACGCUGCUUGCUUGAUGUUAGUUGGGCUCUGAGCCCAAUUAGUGUCGGAGAGAAGUCGUUAAGCAAGCUGCCUGGGAAGUACGGCCGCAAGACUGAAACUUAAAGGAAUUGGCGGGGGAGCACAGCAACGGGUGGAGCGUGCGGUUU
rnacentral:rRNA from 1 species